rnacentral:lncRNA from 1 species
GUUAGCCAGGAUGGUCUCGACCUCCUGACCUCGUGAUCUGCCCGCCUCGGCCUCCCAAAGUGCUGGGAUUCCGUCCGGGCAUUUUUCAAUCAGAGUUGGCAUCUCCCCACCUCUCAGCCAACCCAAGUCCCUAAAAGCCCAUGGCAAGUGUGUGUUUCACAAGACAGAUGUGCAAUGAUCUGAGGGCUCAGAGACCGUGAGGCCGCCUGCUCUGUGUGAGAGAAGCACAGACUUUCUCAAGUGUGAACUGAGCAGCAGUGUUGGGUCGUGGACAGACCGAGGACUGGGAGUCACAGCCCCAGGCACUUCUGGUCCUUCCCUGACUGGCUGAUGCCUGCCUGACCCACCUGUGGGUCCUCACCUGGAACAUACAGGUGCUGGGUCCCUUCCAGCUUCACAGUCCUACUUUGCCCCACUAGGUGUGUUUUCUCUGCAGCUUCCCUGUCUGAGGACAUCCUAGAGAUGGGUGAUGAUGGGACUUCCUAUUGUCCUUAAACCCUGAGGAUACUGAGCAGCCUGGCCUGGGACUGUAUGUUUCAGCAGAAAUAACAGGGGACACCAGGGGCAAGCCUGAAGGUAGCUCAGUCGUCAGGCAGCAGAACCACAAGACCAGGAUCUCCCCUCUGGGCUGCAGAUGCCUAAGAAGAAAGGAACUGAACCAACUCUGGUAUUGGGGUCCACAGAUGCCAAAUAAGGCCCCUGGAGUAGAGGAGAGGUUAAGACUGUGGCUGAAGACAAAUCUCCUGUAACUGAUCUUCCAGUUACGGUCUGUGUGACCUUGAUAUAGUGACUGUAUUUAUUGCCAUGUGGCUCAGUUUCCCCUCAGUGAAAUAGUAUAAAUGGUUAAUGGUUUUGGCUUAUCUUGUGGUCUGUGAAUUAACCUUAAAAUAUUUAUAAUUAUUUGACCUCAGCUCUGCAUAGGGGAGCUGCCCAAAUAAACAAUCUUAUUUUAUUUUA